AAAUGUGUAAGUAACUAUGCACGUCUUGACGGUACCUAAUCAGAAAGCCACGGCUAACUACGUGCCAGCAGCCGCGGUAAUACGUAGGUGGCAAGCGUUAUCCGGAAUUAUUGGGCGUAAAGCGCGCUUAGGCGGUUUUUUAAGUCUGAUGUGAAAGCCCACGGCUCAACCGUGGAGGGUCAUUGGAAACUGGAAAACUUGAGUGCAGAAGAGGAAAGUGGAAUUCCAUGUGUAGCGGUGAAAUGCGCAGAGAUAUGGAGGAACACCAGUGGCGAAGGCGACUUUCUGGUCUGUAACUGACGCUGAUGUGCGAAAGCGUGGGGAUCAAACAGGAUUAGAUACCCUGGUAGUCCACGCCGUAAACGAUGAGUGCUAAGUGUUAGGGGGUUUCCGCCCCUUAGUGCUGCAGCUAACGCAUUAAGCACUCCGCCUAGGGAGUACGACCGCAAGGUUGAAACUCAAAGGAAUUGACGGGGACGCGCACAAGCGGUGGAGCAUGUGGUUUAAUUCGAAGCAACGCGAAGAACCUUACCAAAUCUUGACAUCCUCUGACUCCUCUAGAAAUAGAGUUUUCCCCUUCGGGGGACAGAGUGACAGGUGGUGCAUGGUUGUCGUCAGCUCGUGUCGUGAGAUGUUGGGUUAAGUCCCGCAACGAGCGCAACCCUUAAGCUUAGUUGCCAUCAUUAAGUUGGGCACUCUAAGUUGACUGCCGGUGACAAACCGGAGGAAGGUGGGGAUGACGUCAAAUCAUCAUGCCCCUUAUGAUUUGGGCUACACACGUGCUACAAUGGACAAUACAAAGGGCAGCGAAACCGCGAGGUCAAGCAAAUCCCAUAAAGUUGUUCUCAGUUCGGAUUGUAGUCUGCAACUCGACUAUAUGAAGCUGGAAUCGCUAGUAAUCGUAGAUCAGCAUGCUACGGUGAAUACGUUCCCGGGUCUUGUACACACCGCCCGUCACACCACGAGAGUUUGUAACACCCGAAGCCGGUGGAGUAACCAUUUGGAGCUAGCCGUCGAAGGUGGGACAAAUGAUUGGGGUGAAGUCGUAACAAGGUAGCCGUAUCGGAAGGUGCGGCUGGAUCACCUCCUUUCUA
rnacentral:rRNA from 1 species